AGCUGACUGACGGCGUCUGGUGGCGCUGCCGCUCGCUCUGUCGCUCUGUGACCGGCACCAGCCGCGGGAGCCGCCGUGGGAGCCGUUGGGACGACUCCGCGGGACGCAGGAGCUGGGAAAUGGUCACAGCGACAGAAGAUGCCGCGGAGCCACCGGAGGCCUCUAAGGGCACCGAGCCGAUCUGCAGCGCGGACGCUGGGAGCGAGGGGAGAUAAGCGCGUCCACGCCAUCCACGCCCGUCAUUGGAACGUCGCCCACACGUACGUAACUGGCGACUCCCCUGAUUGGACAGCUUGCUAGGCCCCGCCCUUCCGUGCCUGAGUGACAGCAAGGCGGAGGGCGCGACUCCGCACCAACCUUGUCGGGGCAGUGGGCGGGAACUGUCCCCCACCACAGACACAGAUUUGGAACAGAAGUCCGUGAGACCCUCAGGGAACCGCGACCCUUCUUCACAAACACGGACACUUAAAAGUGACCCCGCCAUACGUUAUGAUGAGUCUGGCUCCACUUUGAUCUCUGAUUAUUUCCUGUGGGAGACAUCUGCCUAUGCCUCCUACCCCCACUCACUUGGUACUUUAAAGUCCCGCCGCCUUACGAGGGCUGAAGCCUCAGAUACUGAAACGUGUGAAACACUGAGGCAGAGAAACUACCAGAAAAACUUUCAAUGUAAUUCCUUUAGUAUCUGUUGAAAGGUCAAAGAAAAAACUGAGUGAAAAAGAGGUGGUGAAGGUGUGAAGGGUAAGCAACCGUGGUCACGUAUGGGGCAGGACGGAGGUGAGACCGACAGGAACAUCAGGACCCUCUCACCGCUGCCCACAGGCGUUUAUGAAUCUUCACGAUGAUUCCGAGGAUGUUUCUAUUACUAAAUCUUACCACGAAACAUUUUGUAUACUCCUUUCUGAAUAUAUUUGCUGAUAAAAAUUGUAAAAAGUAAUUAAGGCUGGAAAA